UACGUAGGCAGCGAGCGUUGUUCGGAGUUACUGGGCGUAAAGGGUGCGUAGGCGGUUUUCCAAGUUUGGUGUGAAAUCUCCCGGCUCAACUGGGAGGGUGCGCCGAAAACUGGAGGACUGGAGUACCGGAGAGGUAAGCGGAAUUCCUGGUGUAGCGGUGAAAUGCGCAGAUAUCAGGAGGAACACCUAUUGCGAAGGCAGCUCGCUGGGACGUAACUGACGCUGAGACGCGAAAGCGUGGGGAGCAAACAGG
rnacentral:rRNA from 1 species